rnacentral:rRNA from 1 species
AUUGAACGCUGGCGGCAGGCUUAACACAUGCAAGUCGAGCGGGGUGAUGGUGCUUGCACUAUCACUUAGCGGCGGACGGGUGAGUAAUGCUUAGGAAUCUGCCUAUUAGUGGGGGACAACAUCUCGAAAGGGAUGCUAAUACCGCAUACGUCCUACGGGAGAAAGCAGGGGAUCACUUGUGACCUUGCGCUAAUAGAUGAGCCUAAGUCGGAUUAGCUAGUUGGUGGGGUAAAGGCCUACCAAGGCGACGAUCUGUAGCGGGGCUGAGAGGAUGAUCGGCCACACGGGGACUGAGCCACGGCCCAGACUCCUACGGGAGGCAGCAGUGGGGAAUAUUGGACAAUGGGGGGAACCCUGAUCCAGCCAUGCCGCGUGUGUGAAGAAGGCCUUAUGGUUGUAAAGCACUUUAAGCGAGGAGGAGGCUCUUUUGGUUAAUACCCAAGAUGAGUGGACGUUACUCGCAGAAUAAGCACCGGCUAACUCUGUGCCAGCCGCCGCCGUAA